UACGUAGGGUGCGAGCGUUGUCCGGAAUUACUGGGCGUAAAGAGCUCGUAGGCGGUUUGUCGCGUCUGCUGUGAAAAUCCGGGGCUCAACCCCGGACUUGCAGUGGGUACGGGCAGACUAGAGUGUGGUAGGGGAGACUGGAAUUCCUGGUGUAGCGGUGAAAUGCGCAGAUAUCAGGAGGAACACCGAUGGCGAAGGCAGGUCUCUGGGCCACUACUGACGCUGAGAAGCGAAAGCAUGGGGAGCGAACAGGAUUAGAUACCCCCGUA
rnacentral:rRNA from 1 species